rnacentral:rRNA from 1 species
GAUGAACGCUGGCGGCGUGCCUAAUACAUGCAAGUCGAGCGAACGGACGAGAAGCUUGCUUCUCUGAUGUUAGCGGCGGACGGGUGAGUAACACGUGGAUAACCUACCUAUAAGACUGGGAUAACUUCGGGAAACCGGAGCUAAUACCGGAUAAUAUUUUGAACCGCAUGGUUCAAAAGUGAAAGACGGUCUUGCUGUCACUUAUAGAUGGAUCCGCGCUGCAUUAGCUAGUUGGUAAGGUAACGGCUUACCAAGGCAACGAUGCAUAGCCGACCUGAGAGGGUGAUCGGCCACACUGGAACUGAGACACGGUCCAGACUCCUACGGGAGGCAGCAGUAGGGAAUCUUCCGCAAAGGGCGAAAGCCUGACGGAACAACGCCGCGUGAGUGAUGAAGGUCUUCGGAUCGUAAAACUCUGUUAUUAGGGAAGAACAUAUGUGUAAGUAACUGUGCACAUCUUGACGGUACCUAAUCAGAAAGCCACGGCUAACUACGUG